rnacentral:rRNA from 1 species
AUGAACGCUGGCGGCGUGCCUAAUACAUGCAAGUCGAGCGCACGGACGAGAAGCUUGCUUCUCUGAUGUUAGCGGCGGACGGGUGAGUAACACGUGGAUAACCUACCUAUAAGACUGGGAUAACUUCGGGAAACCGGAGCUAAUACCGGAUAAUAUUUUGAACCGCAUGGUUCAAAAGUGAAAGACGGUCUUGCUGUCACUUAUAGAUGGAUCCGCGCUGCAUUAGCUAGUUGGUAAGGUAACGGCUUACCAAGGCAACGAUGCAUAGCCGACCUGAGAGGGUGAUCGGCCACACUGGAACUGAGACACGGUCCAGACUCCUACGGGAGGCAGCAGUAGGGAAUCUUCCGCAAUGGGCGAAAGCCUGACGGAGCAACGCCGCGUGAGUGAUGAAGGUCUUCGGAUCGUAAAACUCUGUUAUUAGGGAAGAACAUAUGUGUAAGUAACUGUGCACAUCUUGACGGUACCUAAUCAGAAAGCCACGGCUAACCACGUG